GGAGGUGUGGUUCAGUGUCAGAGCGUCUGCUUUGCAUGCAGACAUUCCCAGCUUCAAUCCCUGGCAUCUCCA
rnacentral:tRNA from 1 species